CAGUCGCCGCGGGAAUACGAAGGGUGCAAGCGUUACUCGGAAUUACUGGGCGUAAAGCGUGCGUAGGUGGUGGUUUAAGUCCGUUGUGAAAGCCCUGGGCUCAACCUGGGAAUUGCAGUGGAUACUGGGUCACUAGAGUGUGGUAGAGGAUAGUGGAAUUUCCGGUGUAGCAGUGAAAUGCGUAGAGAUCGGAAGGAACAUCUGUGGCGAAGGCGACUAUCUGGGCCAACACUGACACUGAGGCACGAAAGCGUGGGGAGCAAACAGGAUUAGAUACCCCCGUAGUCCCUGUCUCUUAUAU
rnacentral:rRNA from 1 species